rnacentral:rRNA from 1 species
GAUGAACGCUGGCGGCGUGCCUAAUACAUGCAAGUCGAGCGAACGGACGAGAAGCUCGCUUCUCUGAUGUUAGCGGCGGACGGGUGAGUAACACGUGGAUAACCUACCUAUAAGACUGGGAUAACUUCGGGAAACCGUAGCUAAUACCGGAUAAUAUUUUGAACCGCAUGGUUCAAAAGUGAAAGACGGUCUUGCUGUCACUUAUAGAUGGAUCCGCGCUGCAUUAGCUAGUUGGUAAGGUAACGGCUUACCAAGGCAACGAUGCAUAGCCGACCUGAGAGGGUGAUCGGCCACACUGGAACUGAGACACGGUCCAGACUCCUACGGGAGGCAGCAGUAGGGAAUCUUCCGCAAUGGGCGAAAGCCUGACGGAGCAACGCCGCGUGAGUGAUGAAGGUCUUCGGAUCGUAAAACUCUGUUAUUAGGGAAGAACAUAUGUGUAAGUAACUGUGCACAUCUUGACGGUACCUAAUCAGAAAGCCACGGCUAACUACGUG